GACGGAGGGUGCAAGCGUUAUCCGGAAUUACUGGGCGUAAAGGGCUCGUAGGUGGCCAACUAAGUCAGACGUGAAAUCCCUCGGCUUAACCGGGGAACUGCGUCUGAUACUGGAUGGCUUGAGUUUGGGAGAGGGACGCGGAAUUCCAGGUGUAGCGGUGAAAUGCGUAGAUAUCUGGAGGAACACCGGUGGCGAAGGCGGCGUCCUGGACCAACACUGACACUGAGGAGCGAAAGCCAGGGGAGCAAACGGG
rnacentral:rRNA from 1 species